GAACGGGUGAGUAACACGUGGGCAACCUACCCAGGAGACCGGGAUAACGGCUCGAAAGGGCCGCUAAUACCGGAUAAUGUCGGGGUACCGCAUGGUACUCCGAAGAAAGGGGAAACCCGCUUUUGGAUGGGCCCGCGUCCCAUCAGCUAGUUGGUGAGGUAACGGCUCACCAAGGCGACGACGGGUAGCCGGUCUGAGAGGAUGGUCGGCCACACUGGGACUGAGACACGGCCCAGACUCCUACGGGAGGCAGCAGUUGGGAAUCUUGGGCAAUGGGCGAAAGCCUGACCCAGCGACGCCGCGUGAGGGAAGAAGGCCUUCGGGUCGUAAACCUCUGUCAUGGGGGAAGAAGCAAGUGACGGUACCCCAAGAGGAAGCCCCUGCUAACUACGUGCCAGCAGCCGCGGUAAUACGUAGGGGGCGAGCGUUGUCCGGAUUUACUGGGCGUAAAG
rnacentral:rRNA from 1 species